CAUCACUCUGUAUCCCAGUAACUUCCCAGCUUCUCGUAUUGUGGCAGCUAAAUAAUCUGCAUCACUUUGUAUCCCAGUAACUUCCCAGCUACUCUUUCGCAGCAGCUAAAUAACCUGCAUCGCUCUGUAUCACGGUAACUUCACAGCUUCUCGUACUGCGGCAGCUAAAUAACAUGCAUCUCUCUGUAUCCCGGUAACUUCCCAGCUUCUCAUAUUGUAGCAGCUAAUUGCUUUGUAUCCCAGUAACUUCCCAGCUUCUCGUAUAGCGGCAGCUAAAUAACCUGCAUCGCUCUGUAUCACGGUAACUUCCCAGCUUUUCGUACCGCAGCAGCUAAAUAACCUGCAUCUGGCUGUAUCUCGGUAACUUCCCAGCUUCUUAUAUCGUGGCUGCUAAAUAUCCCGCAUCGCUUUGUAUCCUGGUAACUUCCCUGCUUCUCUUUCGCAGCAGCUAAAUAACCUGCAUCGCUCUGUAUUCCUGUAACUUCCCAGCUUCUCAUAUCGCGGCAGCUAAAUAACCUGAUUCGCUCUGUAUCACGAUAACUUCCCAGCUUCUCGUAUCCUGCCAGCUAAAUAAUCUGCAUCUCGCUGUAUCAUGGUAACUUCCCAGCUUCUCGUAUCGCGGCAGUGAAAUAACCCGCAUCGCUCUGUAUCACAGUAACUUCCCAGCUUCUUGUAUCGCGGCAACUAUAUAACCCGCAUCCCAGCUGUAUCACGGUAACUUCCCAGCUUCUCGUAUAGCGGCAGCUAAAUAACCUGCAUCGCUCUGUAUCACGGUAACUUCCCAGCUUCUCGUAUCGCUGCAGCUAAAUAACCCGCAUCCCGCUGUAUCACAGUAACUUCCCAGCUUCUCGUAUCUCAGCAGCUAAAUAACCUGUAUCGCUCUGUAGCCCGGUAACUUCCCAGCUACUCAUAUCGGCGCAGCUAAAUAUCCUGCAUCGCGCUGUAUUCUGGUAACUUCCCAGCUUCUCGUACCGCGACAGCCAAAUAACCUGCAUCUCACUGUAUCACAGUAACUUCCCAACUUCUCGUACCGUGGCAGCUAGAUAACCUGCAUCGCUCUGUAUCCUGGUAACUUCCCAGCUUCUCGUAUCGCGGUAACGUUUGGCCAGUGUGAAUGCAGCAAUGUGAAGCAAAAUAAUAAGUAAUCUCUAAAUGUGCGUCCUGAUAUGCUGAGACGGUAAGAAAAAGGAGCAGGAGUGCUAAAUAAAAAGCAGGUUUUCAUCAUGUCCAAUCUGCUGGGAGGGAAUACAACCAGGAGUAAUGCUGCCAUGUACAACCGAUUGUGAAACAAAGACAUUUAAACCAUGUGAAAUGGCUAAACCGUAACCCUGGCAAAUGACGAUCUGUCAGCUGAAUUCUGGGAAACACUGAAACCCCAGUUUUUGACGUCACGCUAUUGCAUAACGUGUUUUGUUUCCUUCUCACUGUCUCCAAACAUUGCUUUAUGAAACGGACGAAUAUAUAGCCCCU